rnacentral:rRNA from 1 species
UACGGGGGGGGCAAGCGUUGUUCGGAAUUACUGGGCGUAAAGGGCUCGUAGGCGGCCAACUAAGUCAGACGUGAAAUCCCUCGGCUUAACCGGGGAACUGCGUCUGAUACUGGAUGGCUUGAAUCCGGGAGAGGGAUGCGGAAUUCCAGGUGUAGCGGUGAAAUGCGUAGAUAUCUGGAGUAACACCGGUGGCGAAGGCGGCAUCCUGGCCCGGCAUUGACGCUGAGGAGCGAAAGCCAGGGGAGCAAACGGG